ACUGUAACUUGAAAUUGAAAUUGGACUUUAUAUGCGCAGAAUAGGUGGGAAGCUUUGAGAAUAUUUUCGAGGGAAUAUUGGAGCUAUCAGUGAGAUACCACUCUUAUAAUGUUAGAUUUCUAACUUUGAACCAUUAUCUGGUCAAAGAACAGUUUCAGGCGGGCACUUUGACUGGGGCGGUCGCAUCCUAAAUGGUAACGGAGGCGUACAAAGGUUUCCUCUGAACGUGUAGAAAUCGUAUCUAGAGUAUAAAACUGGGGGAAAUAUAGCUUUAUCUCAACUUACCAAUACAUUGAUUGUUGCACGAUGCUGAAAUGCUUCGAAGACAAAUAGCCUGAUUAUUCGUCUUAAUCAUGAAAUGCUAUUAAAUGAAUUAUCGUUGUUCACC
rfam:Fragilariopsis cylindrus CCMP1102 unplaced genomic scaffold FRACYscaffold_2, whole genome shotgun sequence.